AUUGAACGCUGGCGGCAUGCCUUACGCAUGCAAGUCGAACGGUAACGCGGGGGCAACCCUGGCGACGAGUGGCGAACGGGUGAGUAAUACAUCGGAACAUAUCCAGUAGCGGGGGAUAACCUAUCGAAAGAUUGGCUAAUACCGCAUACGAUCUACGGAUGAAAGCGGGGGACCGCAAGGCCUCGCACUAUUGGAGUGGCCGAUGUCAGAUUAGCUAGUUGGUGGGGUAAAAGCCCACCAAGGCGACGAUCUGUAGCUGGUCUGAGAGGACGAUCAGCCACACCGGAACUGAGACACGGUCCAGACUCCUACGGGAGGCAGCAGUGGGGAAUUUUGGACAAUGGGCGCAAGCCUGAUCCAGCCAUGCCGCGUGCGGGAAGAAGGCCUUCGGGUUGUAAACCGCUUUUGUCAGGGAAGAAAAGGCUCCUGUUAAUACCGGGGGCUCAUGACGGUACCUGAAGAAUAAGCACCGGCUAACUACGUGCCAGCCGCCGCCGUAAAAC
rnacentral:rRNA from 1 species